GGGGGCAGAGUUCAGUGGUAGGGCACAUGCAAAAGCAUGCAAGAGGCCCGGGGUUCAAGUCCCAGUGCCCCUA
rnacentral:tRNA from 1 species